GACGAACGCUGGCGGCGCGCUUAACACAUGCAAGUCGAACGGAAAGGCCUGCUUUCCCUUGUGGAUUGCGGGUACUCGAGUGGCGAACGGGUGAGUAACACGUGAGUGAUCUGCCCCCAACUUGGGUAUAAGCCUGGGAAACUGGGUCUAAUUCCCGAUAGGACUGCAGGGUGGUGCCUGUGGUGGAAAACGAUUUUCUAGUGGUUGGGGAUGAGCUCGCGGCCUAUCAGCUUGUUGGUGGGGUAAUGGCCUACCAAGGCGGCGACGGGUAGCCGGCCUGGGAGGGUGGACGGCCACAUUGGGACUGGGAUACGGCCCAGACUCCUACGGGAGGCAGCAGUGGGGAAUAUUGCGCAAUGGGCGGAAGCCUGAUGCAGCGACGCCGCGUGGGGGAUGACGGCCUUCGGGUUGUAAACUCCUUUCGACCGCGAGGAAGCCACCUGGUUGGAAGGGUGGUGACGGUAGUGGUAGAAGAAGCACCGGCUAACUACGUG
rnacentral:rRNA from 1 species